CGACAACACCCCCACCACCCUCGCAACGCGACCAACGCCGAAGCUGACCGAGCUGCGCCGACCGAGGAAACUACCUUACGAUCAUCGACUGCGCAACUCCGAACGAUCCCGGAAACGCACGAUGUAGAUCCCGACGGUGGAACGCGGGCUUUCCGAUCUCCUUUCGUACGACGCGCCGCGUUAACUUUAUUAGCGCGACUCGUUAAGGGCACCGUCUCCUAAAUACACGUGCGUAUCGUGUUUCUGAAACUGUGGCCCCGAAAAGUUUGUCUUUCGGGACGAGCGACGGGGCCACCGCCGCCGCGACUAAUUAAAGAACCAUCACGGUUUUCCGUUCACUCCCGCCGUUUACAACUUCAACUUUGAUUGAGUAGUCACGACGCGGUCACGACCACGAACGCGUUGCCUUGCUGGAUUUAGGGUUAGGGAUAAUAGACCUAGAGAUUCUUUUUUAUACCAGCGGAAUUUUAUGAGCGGCUCUUGAUGUAACGAGUAGAACCGACAAUGCAAUGGGAAUGAUACACUAUUUUUCUAUCGCUUUUCUGGGAAUAAUAAAUUUUUUAAAAACCCAAGUUUCAAGUAACCUUGGCUCGAUAUUCCCACCGGUAAUUUUUUAUUUCGUUGCACAGAUGGAAUGCAAUAGUCGUUGGAGGAAUUAUAACUUCUCGUGUUUCACAAUUUCUCUUUCAAUUGAACUAUUGCAUCUUGGCCGACGCAGGAUUGCUACACGGUGCGUAACAAUCGGUUUUAAUUUAUAUUCAGUGUUAAUGCGAUUCCACGAUCGGCGUACGCUUUAGGCAUUUGUGCCAAGGUCACUUUCAUUUUUGUCCCAAGCAUAAUGCACUUAAUGCAACGUGCGCCGUUGUCCAUUCAAAGUAUUUUGAUUCAACGCGCGGCCCUUUUGUACGCGGUAAUGCACUUUUCAUUCCUGACAGUGUCUGCUACAAUGCAAUCAAGGUUCAAAGGUUCAAGUACAAACGAUCGUUUACAAGCGACACCUUAAUUCCUUAGUACCGGCCAAUCUACACCCGUUACCGGUGUUAAACGACUGCACCUCGUUCACGGAAAGAGUGUGCAAUUUUUUACCGGUCUUAAGUUCUCACAUUGACAUUAUCGUCACGCGUUAUCGUCGUUCUUCCUUGUCCUCUCUUCCUCAUCCAACGAGCCCUACCCACCCCCUCGUACGCCACUCCAUUUGGCCCUCUCUUCCAGCAUGAAUUUUCAAGUUAUUGCCUCUUUCCAUGUAUAUCUCUCUUCUUUCACCCAUCCGCGUGCCGUGUCUCCACCGUUCACCCUUCUUUUCUCGUACACUUCUUUCUCACCCUCCGCCAGCCUUCCCUCGCCCUCCAGUCGCCGAAUAACUCCUUCGGAGGUUCGUUCUUUCUCUCGGACACGCGCGCGCUUCUCCCUACCAGGCUCGACGUUCUCCCACCCUCGCCAACAUUACUCCCCGUCCUUCUUUCUCACUCUUUCCACCCUCUCUCGCUUCGCCGUAUUAUUGUCUCUGCCCCCGCGGCCCCGAGCAUCGCCUCCUCUCACUUCGAACCGUUCCCUCGGUCCUCCUCCUCCUCCUCCUCGCCCGUGUCCCUUUCGCUCCUUCUCUCAUUUAUUGCAUAACCGUGCACGAGGUUGCCAACCUGUGCCGCGUAAUACUCUAUAAAUACGUUUCGCAAAUAAAUAAUCGCCCCGGCGAUAUGUCUCUUUGCGCCGUUCCAGCGCCGUUCGACGACGGGACCGUUGCGUUGCCGCGCUUGGAAUUUACACGAUGAAAUGGCCCGAUAGCCGAAGACGAUAAACGGCACUCGCCGAUAACGAGCCGUGCAUGCCAGAGGAUGCAGAGACAGAGGAAAUCGUAUCCACGGGUUUCGCAUGAAAACAGUGUAAACGCGAGUUCGCACUUGAUCCACGCUUGGAGGUGCUCAUCGUAGUCAAACCUUCCAUUUUCAAUAUUAACCCUUCUUCGAUUUAACGGGUCCAUAGUGCUUCCGCAAAAAUGAAUAAUUUUUCAGCAAAGUCAGAAGGAAUUUUAAGAAAAUCCUUGGAAAAUUAUUGGACCCUGGAUGGUUCCGGUUGAGACGCUCUAACUUACGUAACAGUAACCCUUUUAAAGCUUCUUUACAAUGCAAACCUGUUUCAGUUUCGUUCCCUUUGCCUUUGUGCCCGCGCCACGGGUAUUUUGGUGUUAUUACCGAGACAGAAGGAGAACACCGUACUCUUUGGCCGAGUCUCGCUCGAUGCCCGUUUAUGUCCGUCGAGGUCAGAAGGCUGGUGCCGUAAAUGGCGAAAAAUCGGUCCGAUCUAGCUGCGAAUGAACUCGAGGAUCACGAAUGAUCCGAGCCGCGAGCCAAUCGCUAGCACCUAGCGAUCAGCUGUCGGGUAAAUUUACACCGGGUGAAUCAGAAACGAUGUCCCGUGUACGAUCGUGAACGGGAACGAAGGAACUCGCGGCGAAGUUUGUUGUCCCCUCGCGGCCCUGCUAAAACGAUGUCAGACGUCGCAGCGAGGAAGCGACCAAGUGACAGCAUUAAUUCUUGCUGUCUCCUGCGAUAUACACGGAUGAAGAAGCAAUCAUUUAUGAUGCGUGAUGUACACCGACGAAGUAGCCUGAUAUUUUAAGGAAGGAAACACGAAAACAAUUCAACGGCCAGCCACCCAAGAGUCAAAUGUCAGAUUGCGUUCAUAACGACGAUUACCGCUCCCAAAUGUAGAGCAAUGUAUCACUAAUCAUAUUUUUCCUGUGUUAAUUGAAAUAAACCAAGUACAAUUCGAACAA